rnacentral:rRNA from 1 species
UACGGGGGGAGCAAGCGUUGUUCGGAUUUACUGGGCGUAAAGGGCGCGUAGGCGGCCACCGCAAGUCGGUUGUGAAAUCUCUGGGCUUAACCCAGGAAGGUCAACCGAUACUGCGGGGCUAGAGUGCAGAAGGGGCAACUGGAAUUCUCGGUGUAGCGGUGAAAUGCGUAGAUAUCGAGAGGAACACCUGCGGCGAAGGCGGGUUGCUGGGCUGACACUGACGCUGAAGCGCGAAAGCUAGGGGAGCGAACGGG